UAGGGAAUCUUCGGCAAUGGACGAAAGUCUGACCGAGCAACGCCGCGUGAGUGAAGAAGGUUUUCGGAUCGUAAAACUCUGUUGUUAGAGAAGAACAAGGACGUUAGUAACUGAACGUCCCCUGACGGUAUCUAACCAGAAAGCCACGGCUAACUACGUGCCAGCAGCCGCGGUAAUACGUAGGUGGCAAGCGUUGUCCGGAUUUAUUGGGCGUAAAGCGAGCGCAGGCGGUUUCUUAAGUCUGAUGUGAAAGCCCCCGGCUCAACCGGGGAGGGUCAUUGAAAUCUGGGAGACGUGAGUGCAGGAGGGGAGAGUGGAAUUCCAUGUGUAGCGGUGAAAUGCGUAGGUAUAUGGAGGAACACCGGUGGCGAAGGCGGCUCGCUGGUCUGUAACUGACGCUGAGGCUAGAAAGCGUGGGGAGCAAACAGG
rnacentral:rRNA from 1 species